CUACGGGUGGCAGCAGUGGGGAAUAUUGGACAAUGGGGGAAACCCUGAUCCAGCAAUGCCGCGUGUGUGAAGAAGGCCUGCGGGUUGUAAAGCACUUUCGGUUGGGAGGACUGCUUCUAGCACUAAUAUUGUUGGAAGUUGACGUUACCUUCAGAAGAAGCACCGGCUAACUCCGUGCCAGCAGCCGCGGGAAUACGGAGGGUGCAAGCGUUAAUCGGAAUUACUGGGCGUAAAGCGCGCGUAGGCGGCUAGAUCAGUCGGGUGUGAAAGCCCCGGGCUUAACCUGGGAACUGCAUCCGAUACUGUCUAGCUUGAGUACAGGAGAGGAGAGUGGAAUUCCACGUGUAGCGGUGAAAUGCGUAGAUAUGUGGAGGAACACCAAUGGCGAAGGCAGCUCUCUGGCCUGAUACUGACGCUGAGGUGCGAAAGCGUGGGGAGCAAACAGGAUUAGAUACCCGUGUAGUC
rnacentral:rRNA from 1 species